rnacentral:rRNA from 1 species
CCUACGGGAGGCAGCAGUGAGGAAUAUUGGUCAAUGGGCGCAAGCCUGAACCAGCCAAGUAGCGUGCAGGAAGACGGCCCUAUGGGUUGUAAACUGCUUUUAUACGAGAAUAAUUUGAUGCACGUGUGCGUUAUUGCAUGUAUCGUAUGAAUAAGGACCGGCUAAUUCCGUGCCAGCAGCCGCGGUAAUACGGAAGGUCCAGGCGUUAUCCGGAUUUAUUGGGUUUAAAGGGAGUGUAGGCGGUUUGUUAAGCGUGUUGUGAAAUUUAGGUGCUCAACAUUUAACUUGCAGCGCGAACUGUCAGACUUGAGUACACGCAACGUAUGCGGAAUUCAUGGUGUAGCGGUGAAAUGCUUAGAUAUCAUGAAGAACUCCGAUUGCGAAGGCAGCAUACGGGAGUGUAACUGACGCUUAAGCUCGAAGG